ensembl:lncRNA
UGAAAACAGUUUGACUGCUGCUUCAAGAGACACUGAUUCAGUGUUGACUGAUUCAUGAACUACUUUGAAUAAUUGAAAAGAACCGACCACAACAUUUUGAACUGUAGUGUACCUUGUGGUGAUGGGCGUGGUUUAGCAGGGUUUGCAGCAGGAGAGAGCGGUUGGAGACAAGCAGUGAGUAAGCAGGUCAACUGCAGAACUAAAAUGAAUUACAAAAUGACAUACAAUACGUGCUGGACCUGAGAACAAAACUCCACACCUUGGGGGCGGCUAUCAGUGGAGAAUUUGUUACAGGCACAGGGUCAGCAAAGCCUGCUAUAUAACGGGGGGCCAGACUACGUCAAUUUGCACUGGGAGAAAAAGUACUUGUAUUGCUUCCUACGUCUAGCUUUAAAUUACUCGCUAAGUGGCAAGGACCCUUUUAGGUCACAAUUAUGAGGUAAUUCGUACAGACAGGAGCAGGGCACAUCAGAUUAACCACCUCAAUGGAAUCAGUGAUGCUAGUGAUGGCAGUGAGUAAGGAGGAGGAUCUCAGGCCAGAAGUGAACAUCAAACAUCAAUAUCUGGCUCUGGCCCCUGGAGGAGAUCACCUCUCGCCCCUGCAGCUCACUGAUGUAGCUAAGCUACUGACUGCUUUUGUGGAUGUGAUUUCAUUCCUGCCUGUUCAAACAGACCUCAUAUAGCACCAUAUUGAGACCAAGCCGGGAGUGGUGAUUCACCUGAACACAAAAAAAGGUGGUUCAGACGGUAUUAGAGGCGAUGCUAGCGAUGGGAGUAAUAGAGGAAUCCACAAAUAUUGGGCAAGCCCAUUAGUUUUAGUACCUAAAACGGACGGCUCUGUGCGAUUCUGUGUGGAUUAUUGCAAGGUGAAUGCUGUGUCGAAAUUCGAUGCAUAUCCAAUGCCGCGGGUCGACAAAUUGAUUGAUCAAUUUUAUUUGACAGUGGAUUUGACUAAAGGAUAUUGGCAGAUCCCCUUAUCACCUUUAUCCAAAGAAAAAACAACGUUCACAACGCCAUUUGGAUUACACCAAUUUGUUAUGCUUUCUUUCGGGUUGUUCAGGACACCGGCCAAAUUUCAGUGCCUCAUGGAGAAAAUUCUGUGGCCGCAUGCUGCAUAUGCCACUGCAUAUUUGUAUGAUAUUAUCAUCUAUAGUAAUGACUGGCAGCUGCAUAUGGAGCACUUGCGUCCAUACUGUGAGCACUGAGGGGGGUCUAGUAUCUGGGCUUCCACUUGGGUCACAGGCAGAUGCGUCCCCAAAUUAGUAAGACUGCAGCGUUUGCAACUUUCCCGAGACCCAAGACCAAAAAGGAGAUGAGGCAGUUCUCUGGGGCUGGCGGGAUAUUAUAGAAGACAGACAUAACGAACAGUGGGCUUGGAGCCAUCCUGGCCCAGGAGAUAGAGGGUGAGGAGUGGCUAGUGCUGUACAUCAAUCGUUAGCUCUCUAAGAGGGAGACGAUGUACAGCACCAUUGAAAAAGAAUGCCUGGCAAUCUGGUGGGCCAUUCUCAACCUCCGCUAUUAUCUCCGGUGCCGGGAAUUCACUCUCAGUUCAGACCACGAGCCCCUGCAGUGGCUCCACUGCAUGAAAGAUACCAAAACGCGGAUCACCCAUUGGUAUCUGGCUCUCCAUCCCUUUAAGUUCAAGGUUAUCCACAGGCCAGGAGGCAGAGAUGGCUGAAGCGAACUUCC